UUAACAACAUGCAAGUCGAACGGAGGAUAGGGAAGAGCUUGCUCUUCCGAACUCUUAGUGGCGGACGGGUGAGUAACGACGUGAGCAACCUGGCCUUUCGAGAGGGGGACCAACGUUUGGAACGAACGCUAAUACCGCAUAAGAUCGUAGGGCCACAUGGUCCAGCGACCAAAGGAGCAAUCCGCUGAAAGAUGGGCUCGCGUCUGAUUAGAUAGUUGGUGGGGUAACGGCCUACCAAGUCGACGAUCAGUAGCCGGACUGAGAGGUUGAACGGCCACAUUGGGACUGAGAUACGGCCCAGACUCCUACGGGAGGCAGCAGUGGGGAAUAUUGCACAAUGGGGGAAACCCUGAUGCAGCAACGCCGCGUGAAGGAUGACGGUUUUCGGAUUGUAAACUUCUGUUCUCGUUGACGAAAGACAGUGACGGUAAACGAGGAGCAAGCCACGGCUAACUACGUGCCAGCAGCCGCGGUAA
rnacentral:rRNA from 1 species